rnacentral:rRNA from 1 species
CAGCCGCGGUAAUACAGAGGGUGCAAGCGUUAAUCGGAAUGACUGGGCGUAAAGGGUGCGUAGGUGGCAUAUUAAGUUAGUUGUGAAAUCCCCGGGCUUAACCUGGGAACUGCAAUUGAUACUGGUAAGCUAGAGUUUGGUAGAGGAUAGUGGAAUUUCCGGUGUAGCGGUGAAAUGCGUAGAUAUCGGAAGGAACACCAGUGGCGAAGGCGACUAUCUGGCCCAAAACUGACACUGAGGCACGAAAGCGUGGGUAGCGAACAGGAUUAGAUACCCUGGUAGUCCACGCCGUAAACGAUGAGAACUAGAUGAUGGAUAGGUUAAACCUAUUUGGUAUCGAAGCUAACGCGUUAAGUUCUCCGCCUGGGGAGUACGGUCGCAAGAUUAAAACUCAAAGAAAUUGACGGGGACCCGCACAAGCGGUGGAGCAUGUGGUUUAAUUCGAUGCAACGCGAAGAACCUUACCUACCCUUGACAUGUAUAGAAUUCUUAAGAGAUUAGGAAGUGCCCGCAAGGGAGCUAUAACACAGGUGCUGCAUGGCUGUCGUCAGCUCGUGUCGUGAGAUGUUGGGUUAAGUCCCGUAACGAGCGCAACCCUUGUCCUUAGUUGCCAGCACGUAAAGGUGGGAACUCUAAGGAGACUGCCGGUGAUAAACCGGAGGAAGGUGGGGAUGACGUCAAGUCCUCAUGGCCCUUAUGGGUAGGGCUACACACGUGCUACAAUGGGCGUUACAGAGGGAAGCGAAGCCGUGAGGUGGAGCGAAUCUCAUAAAGGCGUUCGUAGUCCGGAUUGAAGUCUGGAACUCGACUUCAUGAAGUCGGAAUCGCUAGUAAUCGCGGAUCAGCAUGCCGCGGUGAAUACGUUCUCGGGUCU